GUACUUGUUUUUAUCGAUUUCACAUUCGUAAGCAAUUGAUCGUAUACUAGAUCGUAUAUGUACAAUAGUAUUGAAGUGAAAAAAAAAUCAAAAUUGAUAUACAAUUGUUGAAAAGGUUACGGAACAGCGUUAUUACCAAAAAUUCCAUUUCGUUACAAUUUCGAAAGAAAUCAAUUCCUUUCAAUAUAAAUGUAUCUAUUUUUUAUUUGUCUAGUCGCAUAAACCAACGAACAUUAUAAUGCACCAAAAUAUUAGAAAAUGUUACUGUUACAGAAGAACGCCAAGCAAUUCACUGCUAUUAUUUCUAUGCACCUCAACUUUUGUUUCGGUGGAAGAAUAACAUUAAACUAAAGCUGAUGGACCGAGAAACAGGGGAAGACCAGGUGAACUUUAUUUGGAUUCAGUGAAACGUGAUUUAGAUGUUAGAGGGUAUGAUUGGAAUAGAGAAACUCAAGACCUGGCUCUUGAUAAGGAAGUUUGGAGAGGAAUUGUUAGAGGAAUUCAAGUCUAGUUAUUUCGUACAG